CCUACGGGUGGCUGCAGUGGGGAAUAUUGGACAAUGGGGGGAACCCUGAUCCAGCCAUGCCGCGUGUGUGAAGAAGGCCCUCGGGUUGUAAAGCACUUUCAGUGAGGAAGAACGCCUGGUGGUUAAUACCCAUCAGGAAAGACAUCACUCACAGAAGAAGCACCGGCUAACUCCGUGCCAGCAGCCGCGGUAAUACGGAGGGUGCGAGCGUUAAUCGGAAUUACUGGGCGUAAAGCGCGCGUAGGUGGCUUGAUAAGCCGGUUGUGAAAGCCCCGGGCUCAACCUGGGAACGGCAUCCGGAACUGUCAAGCUAGAGUGCAGGGGAGGAAGGUAGAAUUCCCGGUGUAGCGGUGAAAUGCGUAGAGAUCGGGAGGAAUACCAGUGGCGAAGGCGGCCUUCUGGACUGACACUGACACUGAGGUGCGAAAGCGUGGGUAGCAAACAGGAUUAGAUACCCUGGUAGUC
rnacentral:rRNA from 1 species